GAUGAUAGUGUCAGUGUUUUCUCACCCAGUGGCAAGUCCUUAAUAACAUGGCUUGAUGUGAUGAAGUCCAAAAAGUGUUCUAGUUUGGCAUCAUCCACUCUCCCUCUUGUCUGUUUUUUCUUUUGCAACAGGUGCCCCCACUCCAAAUUCCUUAGCAUGUUUCUUUGCUGUAUAAAACUUGUGGCUCGUCAAGGAUGGAAUUUUUUUAUUAAUGUCCUCAAAUUUAGAAUGGCUUGAUAAGAUAGAGAGUAUCUGACACCUCACUGUUGAAGUUUCUGCCCUCAUGUAGCUUUCUACAAGAGCAUCAAUAAAUUGUGGAGAAUCAAUUCUUGUCAUAUUUUUUUUCCACUUUUGAAAAAAUAUUCUCUUUUAACUGCUCACCUUCUCCUGGGCACAUUGUCUCUAAAAGAAGAGAAAGGCAUUCAUUUGCUUUUUCAGUGUAUCUUCUUUGUGUCCUCUCACUUGAAUCACUCAAUGGCUCUCUAAUUUUCUUUACUGGGCUUGUGUUACAUGCUUGAAGAAAUUCAUUAAGCUUUCCAAGACGAUCAAUGUUAGCCACUGAUGCCUCCGAUGCUUGACUGUUUUGGCUCUGCUGUGUUUCCUGACUGGAUACAUUGCUGUC
rnacentral:lncRNA from 1 species